rnacentral:sRNA from 1 species
AUGUCAUCUUUAUUGGGAAAAAAGCCAGUAGAUGGUCUUCGUCUCACUCAACCUGUUUGGUCAAAGACUGAGAAUCUCCUUCGUAGUGCUUCUCAAGUUCUUGGCACAGCCGAACAUUUUCUAGCUGCAACCGGACAUUUGCUUAACAGCGAAGAUUCGGUUGUUCCAGCAGAAGUACGAUCCUUCUUACUUCAACUGGAUAAAGCUUUAGGUUCAUCUCAGUUGCUUUUAAUGGGUUCUAUUGCUAAUUGCACCCUAUCUAAAAGAGCAGAGUUUCUUGAAAACAUUUCUAUCGCUGAGCCUUUGAAAGAUUCUUUACUGAAAUCUCCACUCUCUGACAAGAUGUUUGGUUUACCCUUACAGCGGGUUCAAGAGGAACUCAGCAAAAACCCUCCUCCAGUCAAAGUUAGUGUACAAGUUACUAAUGGCAAGAGGUCGGUUAAUGCUACAUCUAGUUCUACUAGUACUUCUGCUUCAGGUGGUCCUCCUUCUUCUGCUAAGAAAAGGAAGAAUAACUACGGCAAACCGCAGAACAAACCCAAUAACUCAGGAAAAAGCUCAGGUAAGCCUUCUGGUGGUUUUAAGGGUUCCAAGAAACCUGGGUCUAGUACCUAGGUUCUUGCCCCCUCGUACGUUAUUGACAGCUUCCCCAGGGGAAAAUUUACAACAAGUUCCUCAAAAAUCAAUACCAGUAGGGGGGAGGUUAAGUUUUUUCCUAAAUCAGUGGAAGAAAAUUACCUCAGACUGUUAUGUGCUGUCAAUAAUUCGAGGGGGAUUAACACUUCAGUUCAAGAACCCACCUCCUCUGUCUGCAGUUCCAAUAAGUUUGUCUCAUACUCAAGACCCAGUAAAGUGUCAACUUCUAUCAGUAGAAGUGGACACAAUGUUACAAAAAGCUGCAAUAGAGGAGGUGUCGAUCUUAACUCUGUCUCCGGGAUUUUAUUCCCGUCUUUUUCUGGUUCCAAAGAAGACUGGAGGAAUGAGGCCGGUCAUAGACCUAUCUAUUCUGAACAAAUUUCUUAUUGUUCCCCACUUCAAAAUGGAAACAAACAGAUCCAUCAGGGCUUCAAUCCUUCCAGGAAUGUGGACUACUUCUCUGGAUCUUUCAGACGCGUAUUUCCACAUUCCCAUUUCCAAACUUACAGGAAAUACCUUCGCUUCGUUUGGAACAACAAAGUUUUCCAGUUCAAGGCUCUCCCUUUUGGCCUGUCUACAGCCCCUUUGGCUUUUACCAAAAUCAUGCAGGCAGCUAUAGCUCACCUACAUUCCCUGUCUAUUCAGAUUCAUUCCUACCUGGACGAUUCCCUUCUCAAGGAAUUUUGCCCAAUCAAAUUGAGGGUUCAGACAGAUUUGGUCAUCAAUUGUUUUCUGUCCCUAGGUUUCCUUAUCUCUUGGAAAAAGUCAGAGAUAAUUCCGUCUCAAGACUUUGUUUUCCUGGGAGAACAUUUCCUAACCAGUGUAGGCCUAGUCCUCCCACCAGAGGAGAAAUUUACAAAACUAUGUCAGAAAAUACAUUUAUUCCUGACGGUUCAAUCAGUCACAGCACGUCAAUUCUUGCAACUUCUGGGUCUAUUGAACUCUCUGGCAGAUGUAAUUCCAUUGGGACGACUUCACAUUCGUCCGCUUCAGUUUUAUCUGCACAAGUUAUGGAUUGCAGCUUCACAAGAAUGGGAAGCAUUGAUUCCAAUCACUCAGCCUUUAUUUCCACACCUUCAAUGGUGGUUAGUACGGGAAAAUGUAAUGAGGGGCCUAUGUCUGUUCCCUCAAGUUCCCAGUCUAACAUUAUUCACAGAUGCCUCCACCCUCGGUUGGGGAGCAUAUCUGGAGGGGCUUACAAUCUCGGGAGUCUGGAGUCCAGAUCUUUUGGAAGAGCAUAUCAAUGUAUUGGAAAUGAAAGCAGUUCUGUUUGCACUGAAUCAUUUCCAAAUGUCUCUAAAGAAUCAGUCUGUCAUUCUGGCCACGGACAACACAACAGUUGUAGCUUAUCUCAAGAAUCAGGGAGGAACUCAUUCACCUUCUCUUUAUCAGAUAGCCAGAGACAUUCUCCUUCUGUGUUUUCAACUCCAGGUUCAUCUAGUGGUGAGACAUAUUGCGGGGCACCUCAAUAUUCUAGCCGACACUCUAUCCAGAUCCCUUGCUCCAGUAAACACGGAGUGGGAACUACUUCAAGUAGUUUUCAAAGCUGUGACUCUUCAUUGGGGGUCACCUCAGAUAGAUCUGUUUGCGACCAGUCUCAAUCACAAACUUCUAACAUUUGUGUCUCCGGUUCCGGAUCCAAAAUCUUUUGCGGUAGACGCAAUGAGCCUAUCUUGGAAAGGAAUGUUCGGGUACGCCUUCCCUCCUUUCAGGUUUCUCUCCCCAGUACUUCAGAAAAUAGCAGGGGAAAAUUGCAAGAUCAUAGUUAUUGCUCCAGCAUGGCCAAAACAGUCUUGGUUUCCAGACCUUCUGCGCCUUUCAUGUGCUUGUCCUCUAGUUCUACCUCUGAGACCAGACCUUCUGUCUCAAAUCAAGGGCAAGGUUCUUUAUCAAAAUCCAGAAAAACUUCAUCUACACGCCUGGCUUCUCUCAGGGUUAGCCUCAGAAAGAGAGGUUUUUCUGAAGGAGCAACCAAGCAUCUCACAAAGUCUGUCAGAGACUCCACUAGCAUUGUCUAUGAUGCAAAAUGGUCAAUCUUCUCAGAUUGGUGUAGUGAGCGGGAAAUUGAUCCUUUCCAAGUCACUGUACAACAAUUAGCAGACUUUCUAGUUUUUCUUUUUGAAUCCAAAGGAUUAUGUCCCUCUACUAUUAAGGGAUAUAGAUCAGCUAUCUCAAGAACUAUUCAUAUUUCUGGUGGCCCAGAUUUUGGAAUCAAUGAGCAUAUUUCUCUUUUGGUUCGUAGUUUUAGUCUUGAAAGACCAAGACAAAAAACUUUAGUUCCUAAGUGGGACCUUGGACUAGUUUUAUCCUUUUUAAAACUUCCUCCUUUUGAACCAGCAGAAACAAUAGAUUUAAGGUUUCUUUCCUAUAAAUGCUGUUUUCUUUUAGCUUUGGCUUCUGGACGGAGAAGGAGUGAAAUCCAUGCCUUCUCUAUUUCUGAUGCUUGCCUUCGAUUUAACAGGGAUAAAUCUUCUGUUACUCUUUUAACGGAUCCUGCUUUUUUGGCAAAGAAUCAGAUUCCAGAUAAGGGUGCAGAACCAGUUGUGAUUCCUGCACUCCCUAGCGAUUCUAUUUCUGUACUUUUAUGUCCAGUAAGAAUCCUUUCUAUUUAUCUGGAAAGAACGUGUAGUUUACGUUCUGUUUCUAACUCAAGACUCUUUAUUCCUAUUAAAAAAGGAAUCUCAGAUCUUUCUGUUAAAACUAUUUCUACUUGGAUAUGCAAAUGCAUAUCUUUAGCUUAUGGUUCUUCUAAGGCAGAACUUUUAAAUAGUUUUAAUGUUAAAGCCCAUGAUGUUAGGGGUAUCUCUACAUCCUGGGCUCUGUUUAACAGUGCAUCUUUAGAAGAGGUACUGUCUGCAGGUUUCUGGAGAAAUGAGAACUCUUUUAUAUCUCACUACCUCCAAUCUAUGGCUACUUUUGCCGAGAGUUUAUACUCUCUUGGACCUAUAGUUUCAGCACAAAGAUUGAACUUUCCUCCUGUUUCUUCUGUUACAGGGGAUUCAGCUUUACGUUAG